GAUGAAGAACGCAGCAAAAUGCGAUACUUGGUGUGAAUUGCAGAAUCCCGUGAACCAUCGAGUUUUUGAACGCAAGUUGCGCCCGAAGCCUUUUGGCCGAGGGCACGUCUGCCUGGGCGUCACGCAUCGCGUCGCCCCCCACAAUUCUCCGUAAAGGGAACGUGUGUUUUGGGGGCGGAUAUUGGUCUCCCGUGCUCAUGGCGUGGUUGGCCGAAAUAGGAGUCCUUUCGAUGGACGCACGAACUAGUGGUGGUCGUAAAAACCCUCGUCUUUUGUUUCGUGCUGUUGCUCGCAAGGUAAACUCUUUAAAAACCCCAAUGUGUCGUCUCUUGACGACGCUUCGACCGCGACCCCAGGUCAGGCGGUACUACCCGCUGAGUUUAAGCAUAUCAAUAAGCGGAGGA
rnacentral:misc_RNA from 1 species